GGAUUACUGCUCCGGUGGCCUAGUGGUUAGAGCGUACGCCUCGGAUGCGGGAGGUCGUGGGUUUGAUCCCCGGUCGAUUCA